rnacentral:tRNA from 1 species
GUGGGUGUAGCUCAGUGGUAGAGGGCUUGCCUAGCAUGAGUGAGGCCCUGGGUUCUAUCCCCAGCACCUCA